rnacentral:lncRNA from 1 species
CCACGCUCUAGCGCGGUCUGGGAGCGGCAUUCAUUUUCCGCUUGACGCUGACUUUAGAAGGUUACUGGUUAUGGAUGAUAUGAUGGAUGUAGAGAGCAGGGAGAUUAUCAAAUUUGAAGUCUCGUUCUGCUCACAUGGAAUGGACAAUUGGGUGUGCUCAAUGCUUAGAGUUCAAUGUUGUCAACAAUGAUGCGGUCUUGAUUGCUCAACUGUUAAUGCGCUGGGGCUGGAUGCGUUGAUUCUGCGCAAUGUUCCUCUCCUUGGUGUGGAUUGCAACCACUAACCACAGUUGCGAGUAAAAGAAUGCUACUCACCAAUAGGACAUCACCGUGCUUAACACGAGGAUCUCUGAAGCUGAACGCUUGCACCUGCUCAAAUUUCAAUGUUUUGUUGCAGCUUCCCUCGUCUUCGACUUGAAGGUUCGAAGCCAGGUGUUUGUUCUGCCGGAGGAGUAAUGCGACUAUUCGAACUGUCUAACAAAAGGAGGGAUGGAAGCAAUAGCAGUUUCCUUUGCCGUUAAAUCUACGAAUGAAACACUCAUCGUCUCGGCAGAACAUACUUUUUCGCAAGCAGUUAUUCGCCACGAGAUGCAUUGUCCAGUGGCCAUUACUAUCAGUACCUUUUAAGAGACUGAACUGAUGUCCAGAUCACGCUGCCGCCACUGUUGGGUGGUCACUGAGCGUAGCGGCUUGAUGUUAACUCGGCUCGCUUGAAGGCGUAAUUUUAAAACCUCACGUGGUCCAGUCGUUUCGACAACUGGCAACCCCAAGAAUGUACUCGACGUCGCAGCACCGCAAUCAACAGGGACGUGGAAAUGUGCCAUCGUCCUAUCAAGCAUUUGGACAGAUAACUGUGGCAGGACUUUGGUUGACUGAUAAUGACGUUUGCUUCACCUUCCCUGCUGCUCGUUUUCACGUUUUUUUUACUCUGCUGUAAUGAGAUCCAGAGGAGAGGCUAUAUCUAGUCGAGAACAAGAAACUUCUGGUGGAAUAUCGUCACAGGUCACUGUAUUCAUGAGCCCAGUUAUGCUCUUCUGACACUGCCAUCAGAAGUAAUCGCGACGACAGCAUCGUGCGCAGGUUGCCCCCUAAGUUCCGCUCUCUCGAGAUAUCUAAGUGAUGAGAACGGGCGGUUGUGGGCGAUUCUCCGGCGCAGCUGGGGACUGCGCGAGUCCUAACAUCUGUCUGCGGCUUCAGAGACUUGU